UGUCGUCAGCUCGUGUCGUGAGAUGUUGGGUUAAGUCCCGCAACGAAGCGCAACCCUUUUCCUUAUUUGCCAGCGGUUAAGCCGGGAACUUUAAGGAUACUGCCAGUGACAAACUGGAGGAAGGCGGGGACGACGUCAAGUCAUCAUGGCCCUUACGACCAGGGCUACACACGUGCUACAAUGGUCGGUACAAAGGGUUGCUACCUAGCGAUAGGAUGCUAAUCUCAAAAAGCCGAUCGUAGUCCGGAUUGGAGUCUGCAACUCGACUCCAUGAAGUCGGAAUCGCUAGUAAUCGCGGAUCAGAAUGCCGCGGUGAAUACGUUCCCGGGCCUU
rnacentral:rRNA from 1 species